rnacentral:lncRNA from 1 species
CUCGAAUGCCUGGUAAAAGCAGGAGUGCCAGGCUCACUGUCUUGUAAGCUGUACGGCCGUAAAUGUUUAGACACUUCCAAGAUGGCGGACGCUGAAAGUCAACACAGGCUUAUGCCAUUCACGUGUAAUUACUGUUGCUUCGAGGGCAAAUUUGAUAUGGUUGUUGAACACUGCACAGAACUCCACUCCAAUCAAAUUCGUCUAAAGAAAACAUGCCUGCCUGCACAACACAGCAGAUUAUAGAUGACUGGGAUGAGCCUUUAAGAGACGUAUCAACCAUUCGUUUAAGGGACCAUUCGUUUGAUCUAGAGGAGAGAAGGCGAGGAAAAAGAACCAGAAAAUCUGGAAAAGUGUCUAAGCCAAAUCAGCAAGCACGAAAUCCGUUCCCAGUUCGGGAGUACCACAAGGCGUCAGAGGCAAAGAUACUUCCCCAUGUGCGUCGUGGGUUAAACCUGGAAUCUUUUAACGACUCAUAGAAACUAGACUCUUUGAAGGACUCAUAGAAACACUACUCUUUUAAUACCUCGUAGAAACUGGACUCUUUUUAACGACUCAUAAUAUCAAAAUGGUUACACAGUGGUAUAUGAACUUGAUAAGUUUAUGUGCUACCAUUUUCAACAGUUGCUUAAAUACUUCAUAUUUCGUUGUUGGCUUAGAACUGAUUAUUAAUAAUUGGAAAGUAAAAAUGAUAUAACGUAUAAUUAUGUAGUUUAUCUUUUUAUUAAAUGUCUUAUUGAGACUUCAAUAUUGCAAAUCAUAAAUAUUAUAAAACAACAAAACAAGUAUAUAAUCAAAUAACAUAAAAACAUAGAACAUGUAUAAUGAUUAAUCUAAUAAAGGUAAAUCUCUAAAGUUAAAAAAUAACUUCUUUAUUUUGGAAUAUUUCCAAAUGAUUUACAUAUGAUUGUAAUGCAUAUCACAAUAAGCUUUGAAUCACAAUUAUGUUUAUCACGUUUGAAAGAAGAGUGACCAUCACUGUUAUCCUCCUUUAUGGAGCAUGUCUUCAUAUGCCUCUUCACGGACUGUAAAUGUGUAAAGCUUUUAUGGCAUUUGUCACAUGUUAACAUAUCUGAUCCGUGUUUUCUCAUGUGACCUUCAUACUGGUGUUUUUCUACAAAUUUCUGAUGACAUUCUGCACAUUCGUAUUUGUGCGAACGUUCAUGCCGGAUCAUGUGCUUUCUAAGCCCACUCCUGGUCUUGAACUCUCUCCUACAAUCAGCAUAUAGCUUUGUCUGUGUUUCCUCAUGAAAUGAUUCUUCAAGUGCAUUGAUUGUUAAACUAAAACAGGAAAUCAAAUAAAAUUUAAUGAUAGGCCAAAGAAAAAGAACAAGGUGCAAUGCCGUUUGCAAAAUCUACCUAAUUCGUUUCGGGGAAAUUUUAAAAAUAUCUCGGACAUUUAAAAAAAACCCAACUUUCAUUGAAAUGACAGCUCUAAAUAGUUGAGGAACACCACCUGUUCCCCUCUGUGCAUUAUUUCAGAAUUUCAGAAACGAAUGGGCACCUAGGUAAAAGUACCGAUCUUCCAUAACCCAUCUUAGCUUCCAUACAUGAAAGAAUGGUACCAUCUUUGGAUUCGAACAACAACGGCGAGUGGCAAAAGGUGGUAAUCUGUUUUGAUCUUCCGUGGAUUUCUCUUAAACUUUGACAACUGAUCUUAUGCAUUCAUUGAUAACCGUUUUGCACCUUAUAUGUGAAUGUUUCGACUUUAAUUAUUUCUAAAAUCAGGUAUUUCCUAGCCUAGUUGUACAACCAAGAUAAGAAGUUGUUAACAAAAGUAUUUUUAUUACAAAAUCGUUAUCUGAAAUAAAUGUAAAAACAACCAUAUCAUAUUUGUUAAAAAUUGAAGUUGCAAUUUUUAAACUGUUAAAAAAUUGAAGUUGCAAUUUUUAAACUGAAAAUUAAUAGGAAUCCACAUCUGUUUAAUAUUUAUUAUCUCCCCUUUUCUACCUCAAGACGCAAACAGGAUAAUAAAAAUAAAAUUUAUGUAUUAUCAAAGUUCGAGCAUAUUUUAGACUCGCCUUUUGAAUAAUUUUAUUACCUAUUCAAAUAUAACUAAAAUAUCAAAUAUUUAUUUUUCUUGUCAGGGUAUUAAAUUACGGUAACAUCGCAAGUGAGGGUUAAAAUCCGUAGCGCGUCUUUUAUUAGCGCCAAAUAAUGAUCUCCCUUUCAAAUACUGCGUCUGAAGACGGCCAGAACGGCAAAAAUACCUAACCUACGUAUAACGUGUGUCCCCGACAACACUUUAAACUAAGGUGAAACUGUUAACAAUAUAAACAUUAUAUCUACGAAUAAUAAUAAAAAAACUGAAUUUAAAAUUUGAUGGUAAAAAACAAAUUGCUAAACAAUUCACAAAAAUGUGAAAAACUAAUGGCAGUGGCUAGGAUUACGGAUCCGAACAAAUAUAAUGUAUGAUGUCCCUCAAAUGCUGCCGUAAUCCUAUCCUUUUCUGAUAGAGUUGUCUAAGUAUACCGUCGGAACUUCCUUUAUCCUAUACUCGGAGGCUACGAUUACAGAACCGUAGUUAAUUUACAUAUAUUUUUAAGUGGCAUUUUUAGCAUAGACGAAAUUAAAUUGUAUCUACACCGUUCAGUUUUUUCGCUUAAUUCUAUGUAUAAACCGUUCACAAAAAACCGUGUCUACACCGCUCAGCGUGAAUAUGUUGGUAAAGUCUACGCCGCUGUAUUGACAAUUUAAAAAUCGUAAAAAUUUUGAUAUUUCCAGGUAUGUUUCGUAAAAUCAAGCAUUACCAUCGUAAAGAACCGGUAAAAAGCUUCAAAAUACCACAGAAAUAUUCAAACAGAUAUGAUUAUUGAAUAAGAUACGACCGAAAAUAAUGUGCGUUCCUCGAUUCGAUUUUAAUUUCAUCAAAUUGGCACAUUUUGCGUCAAUAUAAUUCGAGAAACAAUGAAAUCAACAAACUUUUAGAUAAUGCCGAGGAGGAACAUGUUAUUCCGCUAUCAUUUGCUAUAAGUGUGGCCGUUAAAAGUGUUGAAGAAAACAUGUUAUCAAUGAAAAACUGGAACACCUACCUGUGUUGACUUUCAGCGUCCGCCAUCUUGGAAGUGUCUAAACAUUUACGGCCGUACAGCUUACAAGACAGUGA